GUGUCAGCAGCCGCGGUAAUACGGAGGGUGCGAGCGUUAUCCGGAAUUACUGGGUUUAAAGGGUGCGUAGGCGGCUCGGUAAGUCAGGAGUGAAAGUUUGCGGCUCAACCGUAAAAUUGCUUUUGAUACUGCCGGGCUAGAAUCAGGAUGAGGUCAGCGGAAUGUGGCAUGUAGCGGUGAAAUGCAUAGAUAUGCCAUAGAACACCUAUUGCGAAGGCAGCUGGCUAGACCUGUAUUGACGCUGAGGCACGAAAGCGUGGGGAGCGAACAGGAUUAGAUACCCUAGUAGUCC
rnacentral:rRNA from 1 species